UUUAUGCCACAUGUGCCAGUAGGUGGUGGCUGGAUUUGUGGAGGUGAUUCUUGGGUUUUAGUGAGAGAAAGAAAGAGGCAAAGGUUUCGGGUUUUAGAGGGAGAAACAUGAUGCGGAGAUUGCGUUUGAGUUAGCCUACCAUCAGAACUUCUAUUGCAUGUUCUUUCGGUAAACCACAAUAAAAUACUGUGUCGUUGCUUUUUUUCUUCAACUCUCUGGUGGUGUACCAGCACAGAAAAGAGUGAGGUAAAAGGUUCCAGAAAGCAAGCAGAAGAUAAAGACAAAAAUGGAGUCCUGGAACCAUGUUGCGAUUAAUUUUAUUAGCUCUUCAAUCUAACACUUACAUUUGUCGCUCCCAGAGAUUUGAAUCGAUUAUAUAUAUAAGAAGGCAGCCCUUUAACGCAAGCGCCAUGAAGUUCACGAAUAAGCUGAGUGAUUUAAAAAAGCUGCUGAUAUUGUUUUUUUUUUAUAUCUGAAUAGGGAAAUAAUGCUGGUUUGCAUAUGUUGUGCACAGUGUUGAUUAGAAGAAGGCACAGCAUCCUACCUAACGAAUGAUGUAAUCCAAUUCAAUAAGGGAACAGUUUUCUGAUUUUUUUACUAGAAAUCCUUAAAAAAAUAUUGUCAAUUGAGGUCCCCAUUAUUAAUUUCUUUCUGCGUAAACUGUUACUUUCGAAGAAGCAAACUCUUUUGCAUGGAAUCUGUACAGCUUUACUCCUCGGAUAUCCGCUUCUCAACUGUGUUGGUGAUGGAUUCUUGGUGAUACAAGAUUGACCGGGGAGGGCAAUGAUUAUACUAUUGUAAACAGGUGAUGUGAGCUUUCAGGUCUUCUUUGCUGCCACUGCCGGCCUCGAGGCCGUGGCACCAGCUGGCAAAAGCUUGCAUGGCUAUUGGAGCUCAAGAAUCCCAGAAGAAGGGUAGGUUUUAUAUUUAUGAGUCAUGAUUGCAGCUUGGCAGAAAAUUCACAUCAGAUUUUUUCUGGUUUCAGAAUUUAUUCACUGCUUCAUUUAUAAAAAGAAAGAAAAAAGAAGGGUUGUUAAGAGGUU